AUGUACGAGGAUAUCUUCCAAACCCCUUUCGCUAUUCACAGUUAUGUUACAUCUUAUAUAGCAGAGUUAAGGGCACUACAGCAGCCAGGAGGGGUAGGCAGAGGGGCGGCCCAACAUAGGCCAAAUCAUUGGCUUGCACCUCCGGAGGGAUUAUCCAAAGUCAAUGUAGACGCAGCAGUGGGAAGAUUGAAUGGAGCAGUGGCAACAGUCUAUAGAGACCGAGAUGGUGUUUUCAUGGGAGCAUCGGCAGUGGUAUUUCCAAAUCUGUCAGACCCCGGUGUCCUAGAGACACUUGCAAUCAGGGAGGCCCUGGCACUCGCGGAGGAUCUCUACGCCAGAAGGAUUCAUGUUGCAUCGGAUUGCAAGGUGGCCGUUGACAAUAUUCACCAUUUAUAUAAAGGGAGCUACGGUGCAAUUGUGCAUGAGAUCAUGCAAUAUAGGUUAUCUUUUGAAACUUGUAAUAUUAUUCACGAAUUUAGGAGCUCAAAUAUCGAGGUUCACAAACUAGCAAAGCACGCUUUAUCUCUCGGAGUUGGCCGCCAUGCUUGGUUAGGCUAA
rnacentral:rRNA from 1 species